UUUUUUAAAUUACACUUCUUACACAAAACAUUUCCUGUAUUUGCAAGUGUGGGAACGCAGUACAGUAAAAUUUGAACAGAUCAUGAGAUCUACAGUUUGACAGCACAGCUCUCCUUAGAGACUAUAAAGCCAAACGUACACUGUAUAUUCUCAUAGUGAAAAGAGAAUUAGAAGUAUUCCCAAUAUGACUAUAGUGAAACAUUACAAAAUACUCAAACUCAU